CAUCGGUAUGGUUACCGCGGACGGCGGAGCUCGCGUAACUACCAAGCAGUCUGGGUGUACUGCAGCUGUAAUGAGGGUAAUGGGGGCUAUGGCCCCGGGCCAACAACCGUCAGAAUUAGCUCAUUUUUUAAGAAUAUAGUUAGCUAGAAAGACACGAUAUAAGUCAGUUCAACGCAGCCUUGAAUGGGGUUCUGUACCCGCAAGGCUGCUUGCCAUUUGUACCUACAAGAUUUCAACGUUGUUGCAGUAAAAAAAAUAUAUACUUCAGCAGCUUGAGCUAACUUAGCGCCAGCUGGCUAACGAACAAAUGGGCACCAUAGGAACUGGACUUCAAUCCGUAUCAGCUUGACCCUCAGACUGAAAUAACCAUAGGCAAUGAUGGAUCCCCUGAGACUGCAGGUCCCUGCCGAUCGGACCAAAGAGGAGCCGCAACGAAUCAACUCCCCUUGCCUGCCCUUCCCGUGCAUCUUGGGAGGAAAAACACUCUCUCCCCGGGUGGAAGGCAUUUGAAGAAAAAUGAACAAUUCUGUACAUUUUAUUUUUAGAUCUUUGUAACUGUCUUAACUUUUUUCAUUUCUCCUUUCUGUGUGUGGGUGGGCUAUAGACAAAAUUACAAUGACUUUGAAGAGUCAUAUCUUUUCUGUCUCCUGUGAUUUUAUAACAUGUUAGCUAGAUAAUACGUUAGGGACUCUAAGCCUUGAUGAUAUGUUUGUUUUCAGGAAUGAGAGGAAAAGCCAAAUGACACAAAGCAAUGUAAUAACUAUAAAGAUACCUGGCAGACUUGGGCAGUGUCUCCCAGAGCCGAGACCUUGCUUGGCCCCAGCUUAUUUCCGUGCUUUCCUCCGUGGCUUCGUUAGGACUGCACAAACGGCUGCAGGGCCAGGCUAGCGGAGACCCACAUGUCUGUGUUUCCAAACAUUACAGGAGGCCCCUUCGUGGGCUGAGUACAGUUACUGACAGGCAGCAGCAUGUCAUCCACUCUUCCACAGAACACAGUUCAAACAGCAGCUGUGCCCUCUAUGCAUGUUUUAACUCUCACUCACUCGGUUGUAUCUGCACUGUUCACCUUACGCUCAGCUACAGCGUCCCUCCCUCAAUUUACUGUUUUAGCUAGGCCUAGGAUCUAGCCGCUGUCAUAUGUACAAGCACAUACUCUUGAAGGGAGUGGUUCCACCAAGAAGCAUAAUCAUCCAGACAUUGCGUUAUUCAAUAUUUUACUUUAGUCCUCAUCCUUGAACUCCUUAGGUGAUUCACACUGAUCAGCUCUCAAAUUCCUCUCUACUCAAGGUCAAAACUCUUAAUAUAUUUACUCUACAGUAUUUACUGAGGCUAAGAGUCCCCCUUCUUCCAUUUUAGGUACUAAAUGCUUGGUAGUUCAUUAUCUUUCUGUUUUUCAAAUGUUCCUGGUUUUAAUUAGUAGAUUUGCUUUUUAAAGUUUAGAAUGUUUAUGUUGCUAGCUAGUAUAAAACCAUAUUUAGACAGUGGUGUACGCUGUGUUGUAUAGAAGUAGAUCUAGUAGAAAUGCAUUGUUUCCUUGUGGUAAGUGAGUGAGAUGCUGCCACGGAACUGAGACACUGAUGAUUGGUGCUAUUUUGGACUUUAAUCUGCUCCUUGGAAAGGUAGCUGAGAUGGGUUUUAUGUUUUACUUUCACGUUCUGAGUAAAGAAGGUGUUGGUUCUUUGUUGUCUGGUUGUUGUAACUUGGUCUGGAUUGGCUUUUGUUUUUUCUGUCGUUUUCUGUGCGGCUUUCUCAUUGGAUUUAAGGAAGGAAAAUAUCAACUUUUGUCAUGGUAGUUUUACUAUAGGAAACAAGGAUUUAGGUGAGAAGGUUUGAGGAUAGAUUCUUUUGAUGGGAGCAAUCACAAAACUGCAAUUGUUAAAACACUAGUUACCCUUUAACACAGAUGUGCAUUCAAAGUGAUGUAUCCAUAAGUACCCAGCACAAGUCACUUUUAGAAAAUGUAUUGAACUUUUUGGAGCUUGUGUGAUUGACAGACAAUCUUGUAACCAAGAGUGCAUUUACCCCCUAUUAUGUGUGUCUGACAGAUUGAAGAGACUUUGCACACUAGUAAGGAAGGUGAAUUGGUCCCAGGGAAACCUAGAAGACACCACAGCAUUAUAGAAUGUUAAUGUCAAGUGUUUCCGUCAAGUUGCUUAGCUUAAGUAAACCUUGAAACAAAGGCAAUUUUUAUUUGGAAAAGUUGUGCUUCAAAAGUGGAACUUAAGAGUACUUUGUAGUUAAAUGAUAAAAGGAAUGAAUUCACUAAAAUGUGUUAAGGCCCAGACUGUUUGGGUAUAGAUUUUUGACGUAAUCUCCAUCACCAGCUGGAUAUGACUUAAUCCGAUAUUGAGUCAUGUCUGACUUAAUGCUAGUUAAUAUGAGACUGGAAUCACAAUGUAUAAUUAUUUUUCUUUUAAGGAGGUAUUUUCCUAACCGAGUGCACAUGUAGCAUAGAGUUAUAAAGUGGAGAACAAUCUUUUUCAUUAGUGUUGUUCUUGAAUGAUUUUGUAAAUUAUUGUUGAUGAGAGGCUUUGUUAUAAAACCAAUAAACUAAUACCAAAUAGCUUUAUUUAUUUGUAGCUAGAUAUUUAAAACAUCAAAGUAAUGUCAGUAUUUGCAGUUUUGUCUUUGCACCCGUUAUUUUCUUUUGUUAAAGAUUAUAAUUACUAUCAUAAUAUCCAACUUGAAAGCCCACUUGUUUUCUUGUCUUCCAUUCUCCCACAAUGUUGGGGAACGAUUGUACCUGCAUGGUCUAGUCUUAUUAGUUGCAUGCUCACUUUUCCUCUUGUAGUUUUGUAAAAAAAAAAGUCCUACUGCAAUUUUUUCCGCUCAUAGACUAGUUAAUGUGUAAGCUGUUUUGUAAAUAGCGGAGUGAAUAGCAUAGGCAGGAUGUGCUGUUGUGUGUUGAGGUAUUCAGUAUUUACCACUGUGUAUGGUUGACGAAAACAUGAUACUAUGCCAGCUUUGCAAAAUUAUAUUAAUGCACAUAACUUACAGUACACCAUGCAUUUUUUGAACAUUUCUGGAAAUGGUGCAAUAAAUAUGCAAGCUUGUA